rnacentral:lncRNA from 1 species
GUUACAUUUCUUAAAAACUAAAUCUUCCAUAGUUAUUUCAUGAGUUAAUUACUUCUUGUCUAUUGGCUAAUUGGUAAUAUAUUCAAAUAAUUUCUGCAAUGUAGUUGUACUAAGUAAUUGCAUUUUUAUCAUUUUAGUAUUAUAUCUGACAGCAUUAUAUUUAGAUCUUUUGCAUCCACCAAUAUACAGGGAUUGACUUAGUUGUAAAUUUAUUUUGUGUGUGUGUUAUCUUUGUUAUACAUGUUGAUAUUGAUUACAUAUUAAAGCACUUCAUUCAGAAAUUGUUUCAAGAUUAUAGUAUCAAAUGGCUUGAUUAAUGAUUAAUUAAUCAUUAAUCGAUUAAUGAUUAAUGUGUCACUCUGCUUCUUAUUUGUCAAGAGACCUCUCAGGAAUGGAUAUUUUAAAAUUUAGGACUUUGGGACAGGUGUCCUGACUUGAAUGAAGAUUCUGAGAUGAAUAACCUCCUCAGAUCCCAGGUCAUAUCUUUGUUAAUGUCAAUCUAAGUGGAUUCCCUAGGAUAUAGUAAUUCUAUUAGUGAGAUUUAAAAGAGAUUCAUCAGAGUUUGAGAAGGUGAGUUAGAGAUUGGGAAAUAUGAUGAUUCAAGGGGCAAAGAGUUAUGAUGAG